rnacentral:siRNA from 1 species
CCGGGCGUCGAACAGUCAGC